UAGGGAAUCUUCGGCAAUGGGGGCAACCCUGACCGAGCAACGCCGCGUGAGUGAAGAAGGUUUUCGGAUCGUAAAGCUCUGUUGUAAGAGAAGAACGUGUGUGAGAGUGGAAAGUUCACACAGUGACGGUAACUUACCAGAAAGGGACGGCUAACUACGUGCCAGCAGCCGCGGUAAUACGUAGGUCCCGAGCGUUGUCCGGAUUUAUUGGGCGUAAAGCGAGCGCAGGCGGUUUAAUAGGUCUGAAGUUAAAGGCAGUGGCUUAACCAUUGUUCGCUUUGGAAACUGUUAAACUUGAGUGCAGAAGGGGAGAGUGGAAUUCCAUGUGUAGCGGUGAAAUGCGUAGAUAUAUGGAGGAACACCGGUGGCGAAAGCGGCUCUCUGGUCUGUAACUGACGCUGAGGCUCGAAAGCGUGGGGAGCAAACAGG
rnacentral:rRNA from 1 species